ACUGGUAUAAACCACAGCUCAUUGGUAGAACACGUGCCUUGCAUGCAGAAGGUUCCAGGUUCAAUCCCUGGCAUUUCCAGUU